rnacentral:rRNA from 1 species
CGAACGGUAACAGGGUAGCAAUACCGCUGACGAGUGGCGCACGGGUGCGUAACACGUAUGCAAUCUACCUUCAACUGGUGAAUAGCUCGAAGAAAUUCGGAUUAAUACACCAUAAUAUUGAAAAUUGGCAUCUUUUUUCAAUUAAAGUUUUAAUGGUUGAAGAUGAGCAUGCGCGACAUUAGCUAGUUGGUGAGGUAACGGCUCACCAAGGCUACGAUGUCUAGGGGAUCUGAGAGGACUAACCCCCACACUGGUACUGAGACACGGACCAGACUCCUACGGGAGGCAGCAGUAAGGAAUAUUGGUCAAUGGAGGCAACUCUGAACCAGCCAUGCCGCGUGCAGGAUGAAGGCCCUAUGGGUUGUAAACUGCUUUUGUGCGAGAAAAAACCUCUUUACGUGUAAAGAGUUGAUUGUAUCGUAAGAAUAAGGAUCGGCUAACUCCGUGCCAGCAGCCGCGGUAAUACGGAGGAUCCAAGCGUUAUCCGGAUUUAUUGGGUUUAAAGGGUGCGUAGGCGGAAUGAUAAGUCAGAGGUGAAAGCCUACAGCUCAACUGUAGAAUUGCCUUUGAUACUGUUGUUCUUGAGUAUAUUUGAUGUGGGCGGAAUGUGUCAUGUAGCGGUGAAAUGCUUAGAUAUGACACAGAACACCGAUUGCGAAGGCAGCUCACAAAACUAUAACUGACGCUGAGGCACGAAAGCGUGGGGAUCAAACAGGAUUAGAUACCCUGGUAGUCCACGCCGUAAACUAUGAUUACUCGAUGUUUGCGAUAUACUGUAAGCGUCCAAGCGAAAGCGUUAAGUAAUCCACCUGGGGAGUACGCUCGCAAGAGUGAACUCAAAGGAAUUGACGGGGGCCCGCACAAGCGGAGGAGUAUGUGGUUUAAUUCGAUGAUACGCG